rnacentral:lncRNA from 1 species
UGUGUCACUGGCAUUUGCAGAUAUGUAAGAAUGUUUUCUUUCUUAUAUGGUUUUCUUACCAAAACUCUCUUUUUAAAAAUGACUAUUUUUAGAGCAGUUUUUCAAUUUACAGAAAAUUUGGGCAAAAAAGGAAUUCCCAUAACCCCUUCUUCCUUCAGUACAGUUUCUCCUUUUAUUAACAUUUUAUAUUAAUGUGGAACAUUUGUUACAAUUGAUGAACCACUAUUGAAACCUUAUUAACUAAAGUUCAUAGUUUACAUUAGUGUUCUUUCUUUGUGUUGUAAAGUUCUGUUUUUUGUUUGUUUUGUUUUUGAGACAGUCUCACUUUGUCACCCAGGCUGGAGUGAAGGGAUGCAAUUACAGCUCACUGCAGCCUCAGCCUUCCAGGCUCAAGGGGUCCUCCCGCCUCAGCCUCCUGAGUAGUUGGGACUCCAGGCAUGCACCACCACACCUGGCUAAUUUUUGUAUUUUUUUAUAGAGUUGGGUUGCCCAUGCUGGUCUCAAACUCCCAGGCUCAAUCAAUACCACCCCUUGGCCUCCCAAAAUGCUGGGAUUACAGGAGUGAGCCAUCACGCCAGGGAACGAUCCACGGGUUUUGACAAACACGUAAUGUCACGUACCUGCCAUUGCAGUACCAUCCAGAAGAGUUUUGCUGCCUUGAAAAUCCCAUAUGCUCCUCCUAUUCAUCCUUCCCUUCCUCCUCCUGAGUCUCUGGCAACCACUGAUCAUUUAUUGUCUCUACAGUUUUGCCUUUCCCAGAAUGCUGUAUAGUUGGAAUCAUAAUGUAUGCACCCUUUUCAGAUUGGCAUCUUUCACUUAGGUUUUCAGUUUCUUUCAUCGCAUAUUUUGGAAGAUAACAUUUGCAAUUGCUGAGGGUUUUGUUUUAUUUAUAACUUUAUAUAACUUCAUUAUAACAUAAUUGUAAACCUUAUUUCUUUGUUCUAAUGGACUGAGUUGGGACCAUAAUAGUGGACAUCUUCUGAAGAAUUUUUAAUUUUCUCAUUUAUUCUAGCAUUUCACUAUCCAACAAAAUGUUUAUUCCAGGAUUUUGGUUGAUUUCAUUAAUCAGAUGUGACAUUAUUAACCCAAGAGAUCAUGAGAAAUUAUUAAAUUUGUGUGCAGGCAACAAAAACAAAAAUAGACAAAUGGAACUUAAUUAAACUAAAAAGCUUCUGCACACCAAAAAAAAAAAAAAAAAAAAAAAAAAAAUCAACAGAAUAAAAUGACAACCUGCAGAAUGGGAGAAAAUAUGUGCAAAUUAUAUAUACAACAGGGGAUGAAUAUCCAAACUAUAUAUCCAACAGGGGAUGAAUAUCCAGAAUUUAUAAGGAACUCAGACUACUAACAACAGCAAAAAUAAUCUCAUCAAAAACUGGGCUAAGGGUAUCUAUAGACACUUUUCAAAAGAUGGCAAACAGGCCAGGCACAGUGGCUCAGGCCCAUAAUCCCAGCACUUUGGGAGGCUGAGGCAGGCGGAUCACCUGAGGUCAGGAAUUGGAGACCAGCCUGGCCAACGUAUAGUGAAACCUCGUCUCUACUAAAAAAAUACAAAAAUUAGCUGGGCAUGGUGGCGCAGGCCUGUAGUCCCAGCUACUUGGGAAACAGAGGCAGGAGAAUAGCUUGAACCCGGGAGGUGGAGGCUGCAGUGAGCCGAGAUCGCACCACUCUACUCCAGCCUAGGCAACAGAGCGAGACUCCAUCUCUCAAAAAAGAAAAAAUAAAUAAAAAUAGAGCUACCAUAUGAUCCAGCUGGGUAUCUACUCAAAGGAAAAAUAAUUAAAUCAAAAAGAUACCUGCACAUAGAUGUUUAUUACAGCACUAUUCACAAUAGCAAAGAUAUGGAAUCAACCUAAGUUUCCAUCAACCCAUGAUUGGAUAAGAAUAUGUGGUAUAUAUAUAUGAAUACUCUUCAGCCAUAAAAAAGAAUGAAAUCAUGUCUUUUGCAGCAACAUAGAUGAAACUGGAGGCUAUUUUCUUUUCUUUUCUUUUUUUUUUUUUUUGAGACGGAGUCUCGCUCUGCCGCCCAGGCUGGAGUGCAGGGGCGCGAUCUCGGCUCACUGCAAGCCCCGCCUCCCGGGUUCACGCCAUUCUCCUGGCUCAGCCCCCGGAGUAGCUGGGACUAGAGGCUCCCGCCAACACGCCUGGCUAAUUUUUUUGGUAUUUUUGGUAGAGACGGGGUUUCACCAUGUUAGCCAGGAUGGUCUUGAUCUGCUGACCUCGUGAUCCGCCCGCCUGGGCCUCCCAAAGUGUUGGGAUUACAGGCGUGAGCCACCACGCCUGGCCUGGAGGCUAUUUUCUUAAGUGAAAGAAUUCAGACACAGAAAGACAAAUACCACAUGUUCUCACUUCUAAGUGGGUGUUGAAUAAUGUGUACACAUGGAAGUAGAGUGUGGAAUGAUAGACAAUGGAGACUUAGGUUGGUGGGGUGGUGAGAAGAGGGUUGGCUGAGGACAAUGAGAAAGCACUUAAUGGUACAAUGUACAUUACUCCAGUGAUGGAUACACUAAAAACACUGACU